rnacentral:lncRNA from 1 species
GGUUUUUUUCCUUUUUUCCUUUUCACCCAGUAAAUUCCUCUCUAAUCACCCUUCAACAUGUCUGUGCACCCAAUCCUUCCUGGUCAUGUGACAAGAACUUGUUUUUUUCUACAUUUUUGGUGGCCUGUAUGGGGACAUGGGAAAAGUGUAGGGCAUGAGUUCCUGGCUGCCCCAUAAGGAAGGAAACUGCCAGAAGCCCUUUAGAAUGAAGAAAAGUGAGAAGAUUCUUGGAAAGUGGACUGAGCUUUUAACUCUGCAAGGGACCCUCAGCCCUCUUGGCAUACUGAAGUGAACACUCUGCAGCUAAGCACCACUGAAUCCAGCAGGACUUGAGACUUCAUCAUCUGCCAAAAAUGAGCUUUCCUAACAACAUGGGACCUAUUUGUCUAAAAAUAAACUGUCCUAGCCACAAGAGAUGAGACAAAACCCAAGACCACAGACUCAUUUUCUUCUAAAAUGCUCUGUCUGAAAGAUUUUAAGAAGAAAACGGGAGAGAAAUAUAAAAAGAAAAUAAAAACUUGGGACCCCAAUUCACUAUGCCAAAAGGGAAAAAAUUAAGCUGAAAGCUGAGUAAUGCAAGAAGCUGCCUUUCUUUUUGUUCCUAAGCAAAUAGCUACAGAUAAAAGGUUUAGUAUCUCCACAGGUAGCUACUCUAGGUUCACUUUAUCUUAUGUAAAGUGCUGAUUUGCAGAGCAUGAGAUGAAUACAUAGUUGACCCUUCCCCUAACCGCUCCUUUUCUCUUGCAAUAUGUGGAUUCAGUAAUGUGACCAUACCCUACCUCUUUCCCCUCCAGCCUGCUUUUCCCCAUUAAAUAUUGAAGCCCUCAAAAUAAUACUUGGAGAAAGGCAUAGACAUAUCACCCAGGUGGGUCCUUAACCUUUGCAAAAUAAACUUCUAAAUUGAUUGAGA